GCUACACCAUGCUUGAAGAAUGAGACGGCUUCUCCAGGAAACAGUGGGAGGAGAUGGGAUGGCAAACAAUGUAUAAAGAAUAGAACAAAUACAAAUGUGCAGAAAGGAAGAAAGAAUGGGGUAUUUUCAGGAAAUGAGUAAGAGUCCAGCUUGCCUGAAGCAGAGAGUAUAAGGACGGGACCAGUGGGUGAAAAGACCACAAAGGUAGGUUAGGGAUAGAUGGCAGAAGGAUUUGAAUGCCAGCCUGAGGAAUGUGGGUAUUUUUUAAAGUAGGUUGGGGAGACUCAUUGCAUGCCUCUAAGCAGGGAAGGAACUUGAUUGGUAUUAAAUGGAAAUGGUUUUUGCAGGAAUCAAGACCAAAGAUGUUAGUGCUCUGGUCCUUGGUUUCCCUUCUAUCCAUCUAUAUUGGAGGUCUCGAUGGUCUGUCCAGUGGCUUAAUUGAUACUGUAAGCUCAUCUGUGCUUGCUGGCGCUCCAACAUGGAUGCAAAAGGUGGCACCUCUCGUGGCUCAACUUCCACCAGAGGCACAAAGCUGGGUAAUGUCACCUGAGGCCUAUGAGAUCAUAUCAACGAUGCCAGACUUGUCAAAGUCACAUGUGUUAUCUGAACUUCCAAAGAUAUCAUCACGCUUGUCUCGACUUAUUCCAAAGAAGGGACUACUUCCAAUGCAUCUUGAAACUCGAGGCCAACGAAAGAAAAAGCUUCCCAAAGAUCCACCUGAAGCAAAAAACCAAAGCUGUGAAGCUUCAGCGUGGAGAUUUUACUCUAUACAGGAAAUGGAUACCGUUAUGAAUGCCUCUCUGAAAAAAAAGACAGAAGAAAUGAUCAAAUGUUCUAAGGUUACGUUGGCAGGACUGAUUGGAGAACUUUUAUGUGGAUUAAUAUCUAAUGGGGGCCUCUCUGGUCUUCCUGACGUGUUAGGCAUGCUUACUAGUGGUCCCCUUUCUGGUUCACCGUUAAACCUACCUGGUACUGACAUACUUGGGGGAAAUUCCAAGUCCCCUCUCGGAGGACUAACUGGUCUUGCUGAAGGUGAAAAUCCGGCGGAUGAAAAGAAUCUUGGUGGCUUGACGAAAAUGCCUUUAGGGAACAGCAAAGAUUCAGAAGAAAGCAAAGAGGGAAAUGAAGAUGAACCUAAAUCGAACCUGGAUAAUGUUUUACCAGGAAAACCAGA
rnacentral:lncRNA from 1 species